rnacentral:rRNA from 3 species
CCUCCGUUGGUGAACCAGCGGAGGGAUCAUUA